ACACUUUGGUGCUAGGUUAGGUUUUGAGAAAAAUGAGUUGGAAUUCAUUUAAGUAGAUAUUUUUGAUAAACCGAUUAAUUGUAUCGCUGCGUUAUUUUGAAAACAAUUAUCAUUUUGGAAAUGCGCCCUAGGUCUAACUCAUAUUGUUAUCAGAAAAAUAUAGGGUAUAAGAUAAAAUAAUCCCAGAAAAAUAAUUAAAAUGGCCUUAUUACAACCCAAA
rnacentral:lncRNA from 1 species